rnacentral:rRNA from 1 species
GUAGGGGGCAAGCGUUGUCCGGAAUUAUUGGGCGUAAAGGGUCCGUAGGCGGCUUAUCAGGUCAAGUGUGAAAUCCCAUGGCUCAACCGUGGAACUGCACUUGAAACCGGUAGGCUAGAGUUUAGUAGGGGGAGAUGGAAUUCCAGGUGUAGCGGUGAAAUGCGUAGAUAUCUGGAAGAACACCAGUAGCGAAGGCGAUCUCCUGGGCUAUAACUGACGCUGAGGGACGAAAGCUAGGGGAGCAAACAGGAUUAGAUACCCUGGUAGUCCUAGCUGUAAACGAUGGACACUAGGUAUCGGGCGUAUCGACACGCUCGGUGCCGCAGUUAACGCAUUAAGUGUCCCGCCUGGGGAGUACGGUCGCAAGACUA